UACAGAGGGUGCAAGCGUUAAUCGGAAUUAUUGGGCGUAAAGCGCAUGUAGGUGGAUGUUUAAGUCGGAUGUGAAAGCCCCGGGCUCAACCUGGGAAAGCCAUUCGAUACUGGAUAUCUAGAGUAUGGUAGAGGGAAGUGGAAUUUCCGGUGUAGCGGUGAAAUGCGUAGAUAUCGGAAAGAACACCAGUGGCGAAGGCGGCUUCCUGGAUCAAUACUGACACUAAAGUGCGAAAGCGUGGGGAG
rnacentral:rRNA from 1 species